AUCUGUUAGUGGCGGACGGGUGAGUAACACGUGGGUAAUCUGCCUGAAAGACCGGGACAACAGGGUGAAAACGCUGCUAAUACCGGAUAAGCUCAGCGGGACGGAAGUCCUGGGGAGAAAAGGAGCAAUCCGCUUUCAGAUGAGCUCGCGGCUGAUUAGCCAGUUGGUGGGGUAACGGCCUACCAAAGCGACGAUCAGUAGCCGGCCUGAGAGGGUGUACGGCCACACUGGAACUGAGAAACGGCCCAGACUCCUACGGGAGGCAGCAGUGGGGAAUUUUCCGCAAUGGGCGAAAGCCUGACGGGAAGCAAUGCCGCGUGAGUGAAGAAGGCCUUCGGGUUGUAAAGCUCUGUCUUCAGGGACGAAGAAGUGACGGUACCUGAGGAGGAAGCCACGGCUAACUACGUGCCAGCCGCCGC
rnacentral:rRNA from 1 species